rnacentral:rRNA from 1 species
GUUAUGAAAUUAUGCACCCAAAACUAAUCUUAAUUCAACAUCGAGGUCGCAAUCUAAUUUAUCAAUAUGAACUCUCCAAAUUAAUUACGCUGUUAUCCCUAAGGUAAGUUAAUCUAAUAAUCAAAAAUUUUGGAUCAAAAAAAAACAAAUAUAUCUGAAUUAAAAAAUUAUAAAGUUAAUCAAUUUUAUAUGUCACCCCAACAGAAUUUUAAAAAAAAUUUAAUAAAAUAAUAAACAAAAACUAUUUAAUUAGUUUUAAAAUAAACUUCUAUUGGGUCUUCUCGUCCCAUAAAAAAAUUUAAUCUUUUUAAAUUAAAGAUUAAGUUCAAAUAAUUAGUUUAAAAAAGUUAGCUUUUCAUCAAACCAUUCAUUCUAGCCUUCAAUUAAAAGACAAGUGAUUAUGCUACCUUUGUACGGUUAAAAUACCGCAGCCAUUUAAUAUAUAAAUCAUAGGGCAGGCC